CGAGAGCAGGAAGAAACAGGUGUGCCAUGGGAACGCAUCCUCCUGGGUGCCGCUUCCCCUUCGCCGGGAGCCAGGCCUUUUCUCCAUUCUGGUCAGCCCAUCGCGGGCACCAGGCACGCUGGCUGAAGUUGUACAAGUCCUCACCCAGUGAAUGGUGUCUCCCAGGCGAGGCUCUGUGGGACUGAAGGGCUGGGAGAGGUUCCUCUGCUUGAAGCAAUGAUGUGAUUGCCGGAGUUCCAGUAACCAUUAUGUGACUAUGAGGCAAUGUUAAGGAUGCUUUGGGCAGUAAGGAUGGCAAAGAAACAGGAAGAAGCCUCAGCCUCUGAGGACCACAGGGACACACAACCAGCCCUAUCUGUCUGCUGAUUUUUUUUUUUUUUUAAUGUGAGAGAAAAAAUAAACCCCUACUUUGCUUGAGCCACA